rnacentral:piRNA from 1 species
UGCCAUAGCCAGGGAUCCACCCCAUAAUCAGC